UUGAUUAAUGUUUUAAAUUAAUUAUCUUUACUUCAUUUCACUCCACAUCAUCAUUUUCCAUAAAAUUGUUAAUAUAAAUUCAAAUAAGACAUGACUUAAAGGUUUUAGUUACCAGGUCAUAAAAUACUUUUUAAAAAAAUAGCAGUUGGCGGUAAGUCCUUAUUUUUACAAAACUUAAGAAAAUAAUAAACCCAAGUUUUCGUACAUUUAUGAACAUUUGGCCGGAUUUUACCCGUUACGAAAUCAAAUACCAGUAAUUAGUUUAACAGAAACGUAAAUUAUGUGGGGGCAAUGUUCGAUUUGAGGGUUUAAAUUUUGAAAUCUCCCGCCACCUUGCCGGUACCCGCGCUGCCGCGUAAUCAACUGAGCGCGACACUAGCGCCACGCGUCGUCGUAGUUUGUGAAACAUUUGAAAAAGUCGGUCGUGAAAAGUGUAUUGUCUAUGGUCGUGAAAUCUUUAGCAGUUGGUGAUGGAAGACUCGUUUCAAGACACGGAGAAGGUCAUGCUGCUGGGAGAGCUUAGCCAUUAUGAGGAAGUCCCUGAAAUUCAAAUGGCAGAUGCACAGUGCUCACCACACCUGAAGGUCAAGGUCUGAAGCAGUCACAGGAAAAACUUACAGGUAUCUCUCGCAGAGAGUCCACGUAGUAUUUCAGGAUCUUGUCUUCUGGGACAACAUUGAGAGACCGCCCCACACAGAGACACAGCACGCAAAGUUUAUUCGAAGAAUUAGAAGGUUUUUUUACAUUCAUUUUUGUUAUUUUAUUAACAGUAUAAUAUAGUGAAUUGUUAUUUUUAUAUGGUUCUCUUAGACUUGAUGAACGUGAUUCCAAUUAAAAUUAUCAUUUCCUAA